rnacentral:sRNA from 1 species
GAGUUUGUGACUAGUCUCGCCCGUAAU